rnacentral:rRNA from 1 species
UACGUAGGGUGCGAGCGUUGUCCGGAAUUAUUGGGCGUAAAGGGCUCGUAGGCGGUUUGUCACGUCGGGAGUGAAAACUCAGGGCUUAACCCUGAGCCUGCUUCCGAUACGGGCAGACUAGAGGUAUGCAGGGGAGAACGGAAUUCCUGGUGUAGCGGUGAAAUGCGUAGAUAUCAGGAGGAAUACCGGUGGCGAAAGCGACUCUCUGGACGGUAACUGACGCUGAGGCGCGAAAGCGUGGGGAGCAAACAGG